AUUGAACGCUGGCGGCAUGCCUUACACAUGCAAGUCGAACGGCAGCACGGGUGCUUGCACCUGGUGGCGAGUGGCGAACGGGUGAGUAAUACAUCGGAACAUGUCCUGUAGUGGGGGAUAGCCCGGCGAAGGCCGGAUUAAUACCGCAUACGAUCUACGGAUGAAAGCGGGGGACCUUCGGGCCUCGCGCUAUAGGGUUGGCCGAUGGCUGAUUAGCUAGUUGGUGGGGUAAAGGCCUACCAAGGCGACGAUCAGUAGCUGGUCUGAGAGGACGACCAGCAACACUGGGACUGAGACACGGCCCAGACUCCUACGGGAGGCAGCAGUGGGGAAUUUUGGACAAUGGGCGAAAGCCUGAUCCAGCAAUGCCGCGUGUGUGAAGAAGGCCUUCGGGUUGUAAAGCACUUUUGUCCGGAAAGAAAUCCUUGGCCCUAAUACGGUCGGGGGAUGACGGUACCGGAAGAAUAAGCACCGGCUAACUACGUG
rnacentral:rRNA from 1 species